CCCACUGACCUGAAGUGCUUGGGGGGAUAGAGUAGAGCAGGUCUCCUUUCUUCCAAAAAAUGCCUGUAACAGAGGGGGCGUUUUCUCUACGAUUUCUUUCCUAGUGAAUUAGCCAUGAGAAGAGGAGAAGAUGUGGAUAGAAAAAAGACCAGAAAACUCAGAGAAGGUCCGAAUUCAAAUCCCACACCCACUUCUUUUUUGUAAACCACUUUAUUGAAGUAUGAUUGACACACAAAAAGUUGUACAUAAUUAAUGUAUACAACUUGAUGAGUUUAGAGAUAAGUAUAAACCUAUGAAACCAUCACCACAAUCUGUGCAUAAACCUAUCCAUCACCUCCAAAACUUUCCUCCUACCCUCUUAUUUAUUACUUUGUGUGUGUGAUAAGAACGCUUAAUAUAAGACCUACCCUAUUAGCAAAUUUUUACCUAUACAAUACAGUAUUGUUAACUGCGGGUACUGUGCUAUAUAGUAGAUCUCUAGGAUUUCUUCAUCUUGCAUAACUGAAACUUUGCACCCUUUGACUAAUAUCUCCCAUUUCCCCCUCUUCCCAGCCCCAAGCAACCACCAUUUCACUCUCUGCUUCUAUGAGUUUGACUCAUAUCAUGGUAUCAUGUAAUAUUUGACCUUCUGUGUCUGAUUUAUUUCACUUACUGUAACGUCACCUAGGUUUAUCCACAUUGUCACAGAUAGUAGGAUUUCCUUUUUUAAGGCUAAGUAAUAUUCCAUUGUAUGUAUACACAACAUUUUCUUUAUCCAUUCAUCCAUUAACGGAUGUUUAGGUUGCUUUCAUGUCUUGACUAUUGUGAGUAAUGCCGCAAUUAAUAUGCCACAUCCACUUCUUAUGAGCUAUAUAAACUUAGGCAAAUCACUAAACCUCAUUUGCAAAAUUAAGAAAUAAGAUCAUUGUGAAUAUUAAAUAAGAUCAAACAUAUGAAAGUUAUUUAGAAAAUGUAAAGGAGUAUGCAAAAUGUAAAAUAUUGUAGUUACUGAUGACCCUCAAGAACUUAGCAUAUCUAUAAUCAUCUCAUCAAAGAGGCAUUAUAAUAACAUUUUUAAAGCAUGAGAUUUUGAGAAGAUAUAGAUUAGCUUCUCUCUCUGCUUUGAAUUUGCUAAAUUAGGUUUGGUCGCAAGUGACAGAAACAUAUAAUGAUGGUGUUUUCGUUCUCUCACUUAUAGAAAUCCUAGGAGAAUUCCUACAGCUGGUAUAGCAUUCCAUGGUGACAGACAGCCAGGUAGGGUUGCCAGAUAAAAAGCAAGACACUGAGUUAAAUUUGAAUUUCAGAUAAACAUUAUAUAACAUUUUAGUAAAACUAUGUCCCAUGCAAUAUAUUUUGGGCCUCCUCUAUUUUUAUUUGCUAAAUCUGACAACUCUAGAUUUCCAGCAGAAACUACACACUUCUUUUAUUGAUUUCUUACUUCACUUUCCAAGAUGGUGGCAUUCAUAUCAGAAGGCUUUCAUAUUCCAGAAAGAAAAGAUGAAGAAAAAAGCAAUGUGUACAUAAACACUGUCUCUUAAUAAAGGCUCCCAAAAGCUCUCACACUACAAUUCCACUUCCAUCUUAUGGUUCAGAACUUAGUCACACAGUCACAUAGCUACAAGGAAGCACGGAGAGUGCAGUCUUUACUCUGGGCAGCGGUAUGCUCACCUAAAAGUUCUCUUAUUGUGGAAGUAGGAAGGACUCAACAUUGCGGAACAACUACCAGACUCGAAAACAUGCCUGUUAUCAAAAGUUUCAUGUUGUAAACAUCAGUGUACUUCUCUAAAACAAAGUUCCCUUUUCAUCACACUUAAUUGUUUUCAAGAUUAAAAAUAGAAUAACGUAUGCAGACUUGUUUUAUUACCAGAUAAAUAUUUAAUUCUUUCACAGGCAGCAUCUACAGGCAGUAACAAUAAAGUGUAUAAACUGUCAGGGUGAGUAUUUGGGACAGUAGAGUUAGAGGUGGACGUGGUGGGUUAGAGAGGGUUCCUUCAUGGAGCUAUGAGAUAGGAUUUAACCUUCAUGACGGGUAGGAUUUUGGAAAAUGCUAGGUAGUGGCGAGGACAUCUAUGGGGGGAGAAGAGCUUAAGUAAGGGUACAGAGUUAGAAAUAGUCACCAUUAGUUCAAGGAAUAGAUUCAAGAUAAUCUGGCUACAGUAAAGGAGCUGUUGCAGAGAGGAUUUCAAGAUUCCCAUUAUCGCACUCAGAGCCCUAAUAAUUGCAUUUCUUAAUCUUUUUGAAUGACUGAUAAUAAGCUGAUUUUUAACAAACUAAAUGAACAAUUUCUUUUAGUUCUGUAACCCUAGUUGAAAUAUUUCAAUAAAUAUUUAUUGAUCAUCUCUGAUGAGCCAGGCACUGGGGAUAUACAAAUUAAUGAGACAUGUGGUCCAGAGAGACAUGUGAACAAUGACACGAUGAUGUGGUAAGUGCUCCACUGGGAAUAUGUGUAAAGCGUCAUGGGAACUUUGGGAAGUGAGCAUCUAACUUUGCUUGUGGGAUCUGUGGACAUCUAACAAAGAGAGCAUUUUUUUUUUUUUUUUUUUUGCUGAGUCAUGAGAAAAAUAGAAGAAGGAGUCAGGAAAAAGAAGAAAGGAUGACCCUUCUUAGCAGAAAAUUAAAAUGCAAAGGCAUGGAAUCAUUGUAGAGCAUGGUGAGUUAGGGGUGGAAUGAUGGAUGUAUAUCAAGGAUGUAUGAGUGAGAGGCAGCCAUAAAAGAUAAUAAGACAUUGUAACAGCACAGUGAUAGAGAUAUGCUCUGGAUACUCAUGGAAAUAAAAAGGAGGAAAUUUGGAGACAUUGAAUGAAGGGGAUUCAGCAAAGGCUCCCUGGAGGAAGUGCCCUGGAACAGCACCGACAAAGGCACAGAGGUGAAAGACAGCAUGAUGGCUGCAGGAACUUCACAUCUCAGUGUUGCUGGCGUGUCAAGAAACCCAACUGAACACGUAAGCAGAGAGCCCAGUCAGUUCCAGAGCUGUGAAUUCGGAACUCCACUCUGUGGCAUCAUCCUGGACACAAAGUACUGACCCUCGCCUUCCAGACCUCUGCUUUCACCUGACCAGGGAUUAUCAAGGCACUCUGUCCAAAUAAAUGCAGCGUUCUCUUUAGUAGGAAUUGAGCCUGAGAGCAACUUGAGAAGCUGGAACUUUCUCCUUUAUCUUGUGCUGCCCACAGUGCCCAGCACUGACUUAUAAACAUGCUGUUCAGUAAGUGCUGGGGGAGAGGGAGGAAGGAAUGAAGAGAUGAGGAAAAGGAACUGGAGAGAAAGGCAGAAGAAAGAAGGGGCCAGAUGAGCAAAAAGAAGGAUGACGAGAAGAAGGAAAGAAGGAAGAAGAGGACAGAAACUGGUUACUCUCUCAAAUAAGAAUCAGAAAUUUAUAUUCUGUAAAGUUUGCUCACAUCUACUGUUUGUGUUUUGUUUUGUUUCGCUUUGUUUACUUAGCAUCAGUUCUUUGGUUCACCUGUACUAAGACCAAGAAAGCUUUGUGUAGUUGAGAGUAGAGUUAUUGGUGAGGGCACCAGCAGCUACACCAGCUCCAGAGAGAUUGGGGCUGGAGCUGUGAGAUAGGGGAGCCGGACAGCCAUCCCAUUAAACGUAUCCCUGCACCUAAUCCCUUCCUGUAAUUCACACUGGACAAUCUCUUUACAGCCUGCUAACACCUGGGGCACAACCAAAUCUUCUCCAUUUCUCUCUGUAAUCCCUCCAAAGGUAUUUUCUGAGUUUUAGUCUUUUGUGCUUUAUCCACUGGUUUCUGAGAUCCUGAAUACCUUCCUUUCAACUGCAUUUCAUAGAUAGCUGAAAAGCCUUUUGCUGCCAUACUCCCUACUUUGUACACAUCCUUAAGUCUUUUGUCCUGGCUUCCUUACCUGUCCCAUAAAAUUUAAAUUGAGUCGAUUAGUUUCGAUCAUAGGGCCAAAGAGGCUAAGGUCAAAGAUUAAAUACCAAAAAAAGCUUAUAAAUCUCUGGGCUUAAAAACAUUAGAGCAUAAAAAGAACCUUAACAAUGACUUAGCACCACCCUCUUAUUUUACAGAUGAGAUCAUUAAGGUCCGGAAAGAUCAAGUCUGCUCAGAAACAAACAACUAUACAUGGCCACAGAAUGACCUUUAGUCUUAGGCAAUCAUCUUGAAAAUUCUUGUUUUUCAUUUCCAGAAGUCAGGCAAGAAUGCAGAUUACAUCACGUAAUCACCACCCUCCUGCAGGACUCCAGGAAACCUCAAGCCCGUUUAGGUUCUCUUCCUCUAAUUACCAGUACCUUUCUCACUGAAGUAUUUGUCCUAAUCCUUAACCCUGACUUGCAUUUCUUUAUUUUGUCAACUGAGGAAGAGAAACGCCAUAUAAAGGUCUCAGAUAGCAGGUGGAGGGUAGCGGUGGAGAUGCAAGUGUCCUAGAGACAGAUGGGGUUCAAGUCUCAGCUCUCGGUCACCUCCCAACACUCUUCCUGUGGGCAAAUUUCUUAAGGUCUCUAAGUCUAAGUUUUGUAAUGGGAAAAACACCUACUUUGCAGAGUUUUUGUGAGGGUUGGAUGAGCAGCUCCAAACCCACUUUCCUCUAUCACUAUCUAGACCCUUGUUUGGGACAUGUGUCACAAGUCUAGACUUGCCCCUUUUUCACAGCGACCUCCUGGGUGGGAGAAAUCAAGUCUCCUUUCCUAAUCAAUGACUUCAACUGGAACUGCCUCAGUCCUUCAGGUCAGAGAUGCUCUAACAAUACUGACCCUCAAAAGGGAAGAGAUGAAGAUCUCAAUCCCUUUUAUUCCUAAAAGUUUCUUGACACCUUGUGGAAAUGUGUUUUCGUGCUCCCCAUCGCACGUACACCAACCAGCAACUGCCAUAUACCAAGAGCACAGAGAGGGGCUGUGAUUGUCUGGCCAAAUAAAAUCCUACCCCACCACCGUAUACAUCUGUAUUUUAUGUAUUUUCUUCAUCUUUAUAUUAUAUCUUCUUAUAACAUGGAUCAUAAGUAUUUGGUUCUAUUGUAGACUCAGUUGUGUAUUCUUUUUGUUGAUUACAAUGUAAGAAUUUUCAUAUUGCUACAAAAACAGAUGUGCUUGUUACUAUACAUUCACAUAUCUGAAAAGAGCCAAUAAGUGAUUCUUCCUAGAAAAGGAAGGUCUGGCCAAGCUGACCUUAUAUCUCCAACACCCGAAAGACACCUUUAAAUAGCCGUUAACUUUGCUAUAAAAUAUUCCAACAUUUUUUCUCAUUGGGCAACUCUACCAAAAUGAUAAUAUCAUUUAUUGUGUUGCUAUUCUGUUCUAAACAUUUUUGUAAGUGUUAUGCCCAUUUUUCAGACAAGGAAAUUGAGGUGCAAUGGGGUAAAAUAUUCCGCAAAAUGUCACUCAGCUAGCAGACGACAGAGCCUGGAUUCAUAACAGGUGUAUAUGAUUCUGUAAUUGAUGCCUACAUCAUCUUAACAUACAGAAUUCUGCACCAACGAAAUAAAAGCCAAAUGGCUUAAAAAGCAGUUGUGGCAGAAAGUUUUAAACCUAAGACUGUUAAAGAAAACCAGAGCUGGACAGUAGUUAAAGCUAUAAAAGUAGAUUUUAUUCAGAAACGAUUGCAAUAAACAAAAAAAGAUCUCAGUAUAGAACUGGGCUCAAUUCCAAAAACAGCAUGGACAGGCAAGAGUAGGACCAGUGGAUGGGAAAGUACUAAAGGAUUACUUACAUUUUUCACAGAGGUAGGGUGGGGAUUUCUGUCUAAACUGACUCGACAGAGUUCUUGCUGCAGGCAGGCCAGGGUGAUCAGAUAGCACCUCAGGGAUGCGGGGGGAUGAGGAAUCUUCUCAGGUAUUGAGGAUGAUCAGAUAUCAAGGGUAGGGAGUUCUCCCUUAACCGACUUAGCGACAUUCUUGCUACAACUGGGAGAUACAGGUCCAACAAGGACAGACACCAGAUUCAAAGCCUAGAGGGCUUGAAGGAGGCUGACUGGAGUUUAGUCAAGGAGAGUUUUUGUCGAGACACAGGCAGCGACUGAAGCUCAAAAACUGCGUCCUGGCAGAGAGGAGCUAGAGUGAACUCCCAAGGAAGUUAUGUGCAGUAGGCCACACCUGACAGCGUGGAUGGGCUGCAGGAGCAAUAGAGCCAUUUGGCUGCCUGCAUGAUCAGAGACCUGGCUUUGUGCUCUCACUGACUAUUCGGUCCAGCGUUCGCUGAGACCACAGAAUGGCGGAGCCCAUGAAAACUUUCCAUGAGACAUUCCAUGUUCUAGUCUAUGUUAAAUCCAGUGACAAGCUGAAAGAUACAUAUAAAACGCAAAAGUUGUCAAAAUGACCUUACCUAAGAGCUCUAAUAUUUUAUAAGAAAAGUUUAAAAGAUAGGCAAAUGGAUAAAAAAAGAUGUGGUGUAUGUAGGCACACACACGCACACACACACAAAAUCCUACCAUUUGCAACAACAUGGAUAUAUCUUGAGGACAUUAUGCUAAGUGAGAUAAAUCAGACAAAGAAAGAAAAAUACCAUAUGAUAUUGCUUAUGUCUGGGAUCUAAAAAAGCCAAAUUUAUAGAAACAGAGAGUAAAAUGGCGGUUACCAGGAACUGGGGGUGGGGAAAUAAAGGAUGUAUUGUUUAAGGGGUACAAUCUUGCAACUAGUAGGUAAAUAUGUCCCAGAAAUCUAAUGCACGGGAUAGUGAAUACAGACAACAUUAUUCUAUUACAAUCAUAUAACCUUGCUAAGAGACGAGAUCUUAAUUAUUCCCACCACAAAAAAGAACUGAUAAUUAUGUGACAUGAUAGAGGAGUUAACAUUGCUACAAUGACGAUCACAUUUAACUUAUGUAUGCA
rnacentral:lncRNA from 1 species